GCGGGUAUAGAUUAAUGGUAAAUUCUUUGUCUUCCAAACAAACCAUACGAGUUCGAUUCUCGUUACCCGCU
rnacentral:tRNA from 1 species